GAAGGUAUAGCUCAGUGGUAGAGUGCAUGUCUAGCCUGCAUGAGGUCCUGGGUUCAAUUCCCAGUCCCUCCA
rnacentral:tRNA from 1 species